UACAGAGGGGGCAAGCGUUAUUCGGAAUUAUUGGGCGUAAAGGGCGCGUAGGCGGCGCAACAAGUCACUUGUGAAAUCUCCGGGCUUAACCCGGAGCGGCCAAGUGAUACUGUCGUGCUAGAGUGCGGAAGGGGCUACUGGAAUUCUCGGUGUAGCGGUGAAAUGCGUAGAUAUCGAGAGGAACACCUGCGGCGAAGGCGGGUAGCUGGGCCGACACUGACGCUGAGGCGCGAAAGCCAGGGGAGCGAACGGG
rnacentral:rRNA from 1 species